rnacentral:tRNA from 1 species
AUUUGAAUAGUUUAAUUAGAAUAAUAAUUUGUGGUGUUAUAGGUAUAUUUUGUAUUUCAAAUC